UUGUUCCAGUCUGCCGUGAAGCGUUCAUCCCUGUAUAUGGGCUGAUUUCCUGGGCUAUAGAAAGUAAUGAUAUGUGUCAUCCUGCUGCAGUGAGGAGGCUCAUCUGUUUUUCCCCCGGUGAUGGAUCCUGUGGGUUACAAUUAAUAGCUUAUGCCUACCGUAGAUUCAAAUGAUCAGUUUCAGGUGCCAACCUCAUGCUGUCGGGUGAGAAACAUGCUCAGACUAUUUUAGUAAAUAUCUUCUUGAAGCGGCUGUGAAAUGGAAGAAUAUUUUCAGCAGCUGCUGGAAACCGAAACAAUGACGCCUGGGGAAGGAACCAAAGGGAGUGACAUAU